rnacentral:rRNA from 1 species
AACGAACGCUGGCGGCAGGCCUAAUACAUGCAAGUCGAGCGGGUGUAGCAAUACAUCAGCGGCGCACGGGUGCGUAACACGUGGGAAUAUGCCUCUUGGUGCGGAAUAACACAGGGAAACUUGUGCUAAUACCGCAUAAUGACUCCGGUCCAAAGAUUUAUCGCCAAGAGAUUAGCCCGCGUCUGAUUAGCUAGUUGGUGAGGUAACGGCUCACCAAGGCAACGAUCAGUAGCUGGUCUUAGAGGAUGAUCAGCCACACUGGAACUGAGACACGGUCCAGACUCCUACGGGAGGCAGCAGUAAGGAAUAUUGGACAAUGGGCGAAAGCCUGAUCCAGCCAUGCCGCGUGAGUGAUGAAGGCCUUCGGGUUGUAAAGCUCUUUUGUCCGGGACGAUGAUGACGGUACCGGAAGAAUAAGCCCCGGCUAACUUCGUGCCAGCAGCCGCGGU